rnacentral:piRNA from 2 species
GGAUGAUUGACUUCGGCAAGACAGUG